rnacentral:rRNA from 1 species
GAUGAACGCUGGCGGCGUGCCUAAUACAUGCGAGUCGAGCGAACAGACGAGGAGCUUGCUCCUCUGACGUUAGCGGCGGACGGGUGAGUAACACGUGGAUAACCUACCUAUAAGACUGGGAUAACUUCGGGAAACCGGAGCUAAUACCGGAUAAUAUAUUGAACCGCAUGGUUCAAUAGUGAAAGACGGUUUUGCUGUCACUUAUAGAUGGAUCCGCGCCGCAUUAGCUAGUUGGUAAGGUAACGGCUUACCAAGGCAACGAUGCGUAGCCGACCUGAGAGGGUGGUCGGCCACACUGGAACUGAGAAACGGUCCAGACUCCUACGGGAGGAAGCAGUAGGGAAUCUUCCGCAAUGGGCGAAAGCCUGACGGAGCAACGCCGCGUGAGUGAUGAAGGUCUUCGGAUCGUAAAACUCUGUUAUUAGGGAAGAACAAAUGUGUAAGUAACUGUGCACGUCUUGACGGUACCUAAUCAGAAAGCCACGGCUAACUACGUG